UACGUAGGGCGCAAGCGUUGUCCGGAAUUAUUGGGCGUAAAGAGCUCGUAGGCGGCUUGUCACGUCGAUUGUGAAAGCCCGAGGCUUAACCUCGGGUCUGCAGUCGAUACGGGCUAGCUAGAGUGUGGUAGGGGAGAUCGGAAUUCCUGGUGUAGCGGUGAAAUGCGCAGAUAUCAGGAGGAACACCGGUGGCGAAGGCGGAUCUCUGGGCCAUUACUGACGCUGAGGGGCGAAAGCGUGGGGAGCGAACAGG
rnacentral:rRNA from 1 species